rnacentral:rRNA from 1 species
ACGCACGCUGGCGGCGUGCUUCACACAUGCAAGUCGAACGGAAAGGCCCUGCUUUUGUGGGGUGCUCGAGUGGCGAACGGGUGAGUAACACGUGAGUAACCUGCCCUUGACUUUGGGAUAACUUCAGGAAACUGGGGCUAAUACCGGAUAGGAGCUCCUGCUGCAUGGUGGGGGUUGGAAAGUUUCGGCGGUUGGGGAUGGACUCGCGGCUUAUCAGUUUGUUGGUGGGGUAGUGGCUUACCAAGGCUUUGACGGGUAGCCGGCCUGAGAGGGUGACCGGCCACAUUGGGACUGAGAUACGGCCCAGACUCCUACGGGAGGCAGCAGUGGGGAAUAUUGCACAAUGGGCGGAAGCCUGAUGCAGCAACGCCGCGUGCGGGAUGACGGCCUUCGGGUUGUAAACCGCUUUCGCCUGUGACGAAGCGUGAGUGACGGUAAUGGGUAAAGAAGCACCGGCUAACUACGUG